AUUGAACGCUGGCGGCAGGCCUAACACAUGCAAGUCGAACGAGUGGCGGACGGGUGAGUAAUGUCUGGGAAACUGCCCGAUGGAGGGGGAUAACUACUGGAAACGGUAGCUAAUACCGCCUACCAUCGGAUGUGCCCAGAUGGGAUUAGCUAGUUGGUGGGGUAAAGGCAUACAAGGGCGACGAUCCGUAACUGGUCUGAGAGGAUGAUCAGGCACACUGGAACUGAGAAACGGUCCAGACUCCUACGGGAGGCAGCAGUGGGGAAUAUUGGACAAUGGGCGAAAGCCUGAUCCAGCCAUGCCGCGUGUAUGAAGAAGGCCUUCGGGUUGUAAAGUACUUUCAGCGAGGAGGCGUUACUCGCAGAAGAAGCACCGGCUAACUCCGUGCCAGCAGCCGCGGUAAUAC
rnacentral:rRNA from 1 species